UACGUAGGUGGCAAGCGUUGUCCGGAAUUAUUGGGCGUAAAGCGCGCGCAGGCGGUCCUUUAAGUCUGAUGUGAAAGCCCACGGCUCAACCGUGGAGGGUCAUUGGAAACUGGGGGACUUGAGUGCAGAAGAGGAAAGCGGAAUUCCACGGUGUAGCGGUGAAAUGCGUAGAGAUGUGGAGGAACACCAGUGGCGAAGGCGGCUUUCUGGUCUGUAACUGACGCUGAGGCGCGAAAGCGUGGGGAGCAAACAGG
rnacentral:rRNA from 1 species